rnacentral:rRNA from 1 species
CGUAGGCGGUUUGUCGCGUCUGCUGUGAAAGCCCGGGGCUUAACUCCGGGUGUGCAGUGGGUACGGGCAGACUGGAGUGCAGUAGGGGAGACUGGAAUUCCUGGUGUAGCGGUGAAAUGCGCAGAUAUCAGGAGGAACACCGAUGGCGAAGGCAGGUCUCUGGGCUGUUACUGACGCUGAGGAGCGAAAGCAUGGGGAGCGAACAGGAUUAGAUACCCUGGUAGUCCAUGCCGUAGACGUUGGGCACUAGGUGUGGGGGACAUUCCACGUUUUCCGCGCCGUAGCUAACGCAUUAAGUGCCCCGCCUGGGGAGUACGGCCGCAAGGCUAAAACUCAAAGGAAUUGACGGGGGCCCGCACAAGCGGCGGAGCAUGCGGAUUAAUUCGAUGCAACGCGAAGAACCUUACCAAGGCUUGACAUCAACCGGACCGGGCCAGAGAUGGUCUUUCCCUUCGGGGCUGGUUGACAGGUGGUGCAUGGUUGUCGUCAGCUCGUGUCGUGAGAUGUUGGGUUAAGUCCCGCAACGAGCGCAACCCUUGUCCUAUGUUGCCAGCACGUAGUGGUGGGGACUCAUGGGAGACUGCCGGGGUCAACUCGGAGGAAGGUGGGGAUGACGUCAAAUCAUCAUGCCCCUUAUGUCUUGGGCUUCACGCAUGCUACAAUGGCCGGUACAGUGGGUUGCGAUGCCGUGAGGUGGAGCUAAUCCCUAAAAGCCGGUCUCAGUUCGGAUCGAAGUCUGCAACUCGACUUCGUGAAG